AUGAUUCUUCUUAAAAUUAAAAAUUUACAAAGCUUUAUUCUAUAAUAUGUUCCCUGUAGUUCAAGUAGUUAAUUAAUAAAUCCUGAACACAUAUAUGCACUCUUUUGGCUAGUAGGAAACACCUGAUACCUGUUAUUUCUUAUUGUAUUUGAAUAGAAUUGUUUUCUUCAGUGUCACUCUAUGGAAAAAAUCUUUUCCUUAGUCUCAAUUAACCUGUAUUUCCUCCAUCUGCUGCAUGCAGCCUGCUCUUUACAGAGCUUAGCAUGUGAUGAAUAGAACAAGGCUUCUAAAACCUUUAAUCAGUCUAUACUCAAGCAUCCUUCCGUCUCGAUGCUGCUCAUUCAAUGAAGGAAUUUUCCUUUCCAUGUAGAAAUCAGAAAUUGUUGUAAGACAUCCACAUAAAACCCCAAAUAUUAAUUUCACAAUUUGAGCUAACAGAGUCUUUGACUUUCCACAUAGAGCUGAGGAACCGCAAAAUAAAAUGUUCAGUUCUAAAGUGUUGAUCAAGCCUCUCCUCCCUAGCUGUGGGAGAACCUACCACUGAGAAUAUUGGUAAAUGGUAUUCUUGUUAGAAACAUUUUAAAUAUGUGUUUCCUGAUGAAUGAGAGAGUGAGCUUGUCUGAUUCUUCCAUGGAGAGAAAGCUCGCUGAUGUGGGUGACAUAAAUAAGAAAACAACAGCAGUGUGGUAUUACUGUGCCUUGGGCUUUGGUAUAAAUUGUGAAAGAAUCUUGCCUGGGAACCCACUCUGACAGGUCUCUGAAGUGUGGUCUGUCAUUAGCUCUUAGUCAGAGCUGAACUGAGCCAGUGUGAUCCUUCUGCAUUUUGAUGUCAACCCCAUACAUAAGGAACAGACACAGCUGCCAUUUUCCUUCCAUAGAAAUGAGCAUCCUGCUGCUUAAUGGGUGCCAGGAUGACAAUUCGUCAGAAAGACUAAUUGGCAAAGGAAGCCAAAUUUGUGACCACAACUCUUCAGAGAUGUCUUCGGCAAACUGGCUCCGAACUCAUGGCCUGGUGGCCAAGAAACUCACCAUCAUGGAUGCCUUGUCUUCUACUGCAGUGCCCCACAGCCCCACCUAUGUCCCCAUCCUGAAUAAGCAUGUUGUUUCCAAGGUCUUUGAUGAGGUAAUCGGAUUGUCUGUAUGUCCAUGCUUAAGGUGGUUUUAUUUUAUUUUCUGUUCAAAUAAAAAAUA
rnacentral:lncRNA from 1 species